rnacentral:misc_RNA from 1 species
GAAAUGCGAUAAGUAAUGUGAAUUGCAGAAUUCAGUGAAUCAUCGAAUCUUUGAACGCACAUUGCGCCCGCCAGCAUUCUGGCGGGCAUGCCUGUUCGAGCGUCAUUUCAACCCUCAAGCCUCCCACGCUUGCUGCUGGGGACCUGCCGCACCGCGGCGGGCCCCGAAGUACAGUGGCGGGCCGUCCACGGCCCCGAGCGCAGUAAAAACCUCGCCCAGGGAGCCGCGGCGGUCCCCGCCGUUAAACCCCCCACUACCGUGCUUCACGGCACGCAAGGUUGACCUCGGAUCAGGUAGGAAUACCCGCUGAACUUAA